AUACGGAGGACGCGAGCGUUAUCCGGAUUCAUUGGGUUUAAAGGGUGCGCAGGCGGCCGUGCAAGUCAGCGGUGAAAGCCCGGGGCUCAACCCCGGAAGUGCCGUUGAUACUGCAUGGCUGGAAUGCGGUCGAGGCGGGCGGAACGUGGGGUGGAGCGGGGAAAUGCGUAGAUAUGCCACAGAACGCCGAUAGCGGAGGCAGCUCGCCAGGCCUGCAUUGACGCUCGGGCACGAAAGCGUGGGGAUCGAACAGGAUUAGAUCCCCUGGUAGUCCACGCCGUAAACGAUGGGCGCUCGUCGUCGGCGGCAGACAGUCGGCGGCCAAGCGAAAGCGAUAAGCGCCCCACCUGGGGAGUACGGUCGCAAGGUUGAAACUCAAAGGAAUUGACGGGG
rnacentral:rRNA from 1 species